GAAAGUCAGUUAUCUAGAUAAUUUUUUGUAACUAUGAUAUGACUAGUCAUAUGUAAUUCUUUAACUCUGGAUUAAAGCCAUCAUAGUUUGAAUGCACAAAUCAAGUCAAGGCCACUUAUACGGAUGCAUAUAGAUUAUCAAGAGAAAAUGUAUUGCAUUUGCAUGCACCCAUAGAGCAAUAGCACACUGCUAAUUUUCUAUCUAAGUGAGGAGAAUUAAAAAAAAAAAAAA
rnacentral:misc_RNA from 1 species